rnacentral:sRNA from 1 species
UUCGAGUACGUGCCUGACCCCACCUUUGAGAACUUCACAGGAGGCGUCAAGAAGCAGGUCAACAAGCUCAUCCACGCCCGGGGCACCAAUCUGAACAAGGCGAUGACGCUGCAGGAGGCCGAGGCCUUCGUGGGUGCCGAGCGCUGCACCAUGAAGACGCUGACGGAGACCGACCUGUACUGUGAGCCCCCGGAGGUGCAGCCCCCGCCCAAGCGGCGGCAGAAACGAGACACCACACACAACCUGCCCGAGUUCAUUGUGCGUGAGCGGGGGCGGGCGGGGGGUGCCCCCACGGGACCGCGCUGAACCCGGCCCCCCACACAGGUGAAGUUCGGCUCUCGCGAGUGGGUGCUGGGCCGCGUGGAGUACGACACACGGGUGAGCGACGUGCCGCUCAGCCUCAUCUUGCCGCUGGUCAUUGUACCCAUGGUGGUCGUCAUCGCGGUGUCUGUCUACUGCUACUGGAGGAAGAGCCAGCAGGCCGAACGAGAGUAUGAGAAGAUCAAGUCCCAGCUGGAGGGCCUGGAGGAGAGCGUGCGGGACCGCUGCAAGAAGGAAUUCACAGACCUGAUGAUCGAGAUGGAGGACCAGACCAAUGACGUGCACGAGGCUGGCAUCCCGGUGCUGGACUACAAGACCUACACCGACCGCGUCUUCUUCCUGCCCUCCAAGGACGGUGACAAGGACGUGAUGAUCACCGGCAAGCUGGACAUCCCCGAGCCGCGGCGGCCAGUGGUGGAGCAGGCCCUCUACCAGUUCUCCAACCUGCUGAACAGCAAGUCCUUCCUCAUCAAUGUGAGCCGGGCGUUGGGGGGGCGGGAGGGCACACAGGCGGCGCCGAGCAGGCUCUUACCACCGGCCCCUGCAGUUCAUCCACACCCUGGAGAACCAGCGGGAGUUCUCGGCCCGCGCCAAGGUCUACUUCGCGUCCCUGCUGACGGUGGCACUGCACGGGAAACUGGAGUACUACACGGACAUCAUGCGCACGCUCUUCCUGGAGCUCCUGGAGCAGUAUGUGGUGGCCAAGAACCCCAAGCUGAUGCUGCGCAGGUCUGAGACUGUGGUGGAGAGGAUGCUGUCCAACUGGAUGUCCAUCUGCCUGUACCAGUACCUCAAGGACAGUGCCGGGGAGCCCCUGUACAAGCUCUUCAAGGCCAUCAAACACCAGGUGGAAAAGGGCCCGGUGGAUGCGGUGCAGAAGAAGGCCAAAUACACUCUCAACGACACGGGGCUGCUGGGGGACGACGUGGAGUACGCACCCCUGACGGUGAGCGUGAUCGUGCAGGACGAGGGAGUGGAUGCCAUCCCAGUGAAGGUCCUCAACUGUGACACCAUCUCCCAGGUCAAGGAGAAGAUCAUUGACCAGGUGUACCGUGGGCAGCCCUGCUCCUGCUGGCCCAGGCCAGACAGCGUGGUCCUGGAGUGGCGUCCGGGCUCCACAGCGCAGAUCCUGUCGGACCUGGACCUGACGUCACAGCGGGAGGGCCGGUGGAAGCGCGUCAACACCCUUAUGCACUACAAUGUGAGCGUGUGGGCCGGGGCGGGCGAGAACCGGGCACCCUGGGGGCACAGUCCACCCUCACUGCCGUGUUCCCCAGGUCCGGGAUGGAGCCACCCUCAUCCUGUCCAAGGUGGGGGUCUCCCAGCAGCCGGAGGACAGCCAGCAGGACCUUCCUGGGGAGCGGCAUGCCCUCCUGGAGGAGGAGAACCGGGUGUGGCACCUGGUGCGGCCGACCGACGAGGUGGACGAGGGCAAGUCCAAGAGAGGUAGCGUGAAAGAGAAGGAGCGGACGAAGGCCAUCACCGAGAUCUACCUGACGCGGCUGCUUUCGGUCAAGGGCACACUGCAGCAGUUUGUGGACAACUUCUUCCAGAGCGUGCUGGCGCCUGGGCACGUGGUGCCACCCGCAGUCAAGUACUUCUUCGACUUCCUGGACGAGCAGGCAGAGAAGCACAACAUCCAGGAUGAGGACACCAUCCACAUCUGGAAGACGAACAGCUUACCGCUCCGGUUCUGGGUGAACAUCCUCAAGAACCCCCACUUCAUCUUUGACGUGCAUGUCCACGAGGUGGUGGACGCCUCGCUGUCAGUCAUCGCGCAGACCUUCAUGGACGCCUGCACACGCACGGAGCAUAAGCUGAGCCGAGAUUCUCCCAGCAACAAGCUGCUGUACGCCAAGGAGAUCUCCACCUACAAGAAGAUGGUGGAGGAUUACUACAAGGGGAUCCGGCAGAUGGUGCAGGUCAGCGACCAGGACAUGAACACACACCUGGCAGAGAUUUCCCGGGCACACACGGACUCCUUGAACACUCUCGUGGCACUACACCAGCUCUACCAAUACACGCAGAAGUACUAUGACGAGGUAGGGUCAGGACCCCAGGGGCGGGGGCGGGUGGGGUGCUGGGCGAUCCCCCGAUAUGCUCUGAUGGGACCCUCCCUCAGAUCAUCAAUGCCUUGGAGGAGGACCCUGCCGCCCAGAAGAUGCAGCUGGCCUUCCGCCUGCAGCAGAUUGCGGCUGCACUGGAGAACAAGGUCACUGACCUCUGACCUACACCUCCAGUGCUGCCUUGGGGCAUAGGUACCCGAGGUACCUGAGAGCCCCUCGGGGGAGGAGGCCGAGUGGCUGUGGCUGAGGCCCCCACCCUCCCCUGGAGAACGCGCCCCAAGCCGGAGUGGGUGCAACGGGAACCCACCCAGCGUCUAGACUGUAGCAUCUUCCUCUGAGCAAUACCGCCCGGGCGCUGUACCAGCACCAGCCCCAGCCCCAGCUCCCUCUGGCGGCAGAACCAGCAUCGGGUGUUCACUGUCCAGUCUUGAGUGAUUUGAAAAUGUGCCUUACGCUGCCACGCUGGGGGCAGCUGGCCUCCGCCUCCGCCCACGCACCAGCAGCCGCCUCCAUGCCAUAGGUUGGGCCCCUGGGGGAUCUGAGGGCCUGCGGCCCCCAGGGCAAGUUCCCAGAUCCUAUGUCUGUCUGUCCACCUCGAGAUGGGAGGAGGAGAAAAAGCGGUACGAUGCCUUCCUGACCUCACCGGCCUCCCCAAGGGUGCCGGCACUCUGGGUGGACUCACGGCUGCUGGGCCCCACGUCAAAGGUCAAGUGAGACGUAGGUCAAGUCCUGCGUCGGGGCCCAGACAUCCUGGGGUCCUGGUCUGUCAGACAGGCUGCCCUAGAGCCCCACCCAGUCCGGGGCCACUGGGAGCAGUUCCACCAAGACCACCCCACCCCUUUUUGUAAAUCUUGUUCAUUGUAAAUCAAAUACAGCCGUCUUUUUC